GGUGAGGUACGGUGUUGUUGUUGGCUGGGUUGCGGAUUUGCGGUUUGAGUUUCAUCGAAUCGUUGAUGUGACUCUCAGAUACCGCAUCCACCAUCCUCGACGAACCUAUAGAAUCGCAAGCAUUCGGAUCGAAACCCCGUUCGCGCUGCAAAUCACCGUUUCCGAUCACCAGCAAUCACGCCACAUACUCAGAUUCGCAAGUCCACGACGCAACUCGCGACACCCACCACAACCGCGUCCGACCCACCAUAAAUCUUCAUCAUACCCGCCGUUAUGUUCUUGCGCUCCACCGUCACGAAUCCGUCUUCUGAGUUUCUUUUGGUGGUUUAAUGUUUUUUUAACAAGUGGAAAAGAAAAAAGGAACGUGAGAGAGAGGGAGGAAGACGAAUCUGCAACAUGA